GUUAUGGCCCUAUCAGAGUCUUUUUUCAAGAUUCUUGUAGCUGGUGAUCAGAAAGCCUCUUUGGCCAGUCUUUCUCCAGUAGCUCCCCCCAUUCAGGCACUUAAGAAGGAUCCCUUGCCUGGGGUCCUUCCCUGUUUUUUCAGAUGUCUGGCUCU